CCUACGGGGGACAGCAGUGAGGAAUAUUGGUCAAUGGACGAGAGUCUGAACCAGCCAAGUAGCGUGAAGGAUGACUGCCCUAUGGGUUGUAAACUUCUUUUAUAUGGGAAUAAAACGUUCCACGUGUGGGAUUUUGUAUGUACCAUAUGAAUAAGGAUCGGUUAACUCCGUGCCAGCAGCCACGGUAAUACGGAGGAUCCGAGCGUUAUCCGGAUUUAUUGGGUUUAAAGGGAGCGUAGGUGGAUUGUUAAGUCAGUUGUGAAAGUUUGCGGCUCAACCGUAAGAUUGCAGUUGAAACUGGCAGUCUUGAGUACAGUAGAGGUGGGCGGAAUGCGUGGUGUAGCGGUGAAAUGCUUAGAUAUCACGAAGAACUCCGAUUGCGAAGGCAGUUCACUGGACUGCAACUGACACUGAGGCUCGAAAGUGUGGGUAUCAAACAGGAUUAGAUACCCGGGUAGUC
rnacentral:rRNA from 1 species